UUACUACUCCUUCCGUUCCAAAUUACUCGUCGCUGAAAUGAAUAUAUCUAGAACUAAAAUACAUCUAGAUACAUCCAUACGUGCGACAAGUAAUUCGGAACGGAGGUAGUAGUUG
rnacentral:pre_miRNA from 1 species